rnacentral:lncRNA from 1 species
GCAUUGCCGGAAACCCAUCGGUAAAACCGGGUACAAGUGUCUCCCCUGCCCGGAGCAUGGCUCCAAUUCGUGGGAUGUGCACUUGGGAGGUGCUGCUAACUCCGCUACGUCAGCCUUCAAAGCACCUUCAAGGUGGCUCAAAGCAGGACGCUCUGUGGUUGCUUACAAAACACAUUCGGUUGAAAACCUGAGUGGUAUGUUUGGCAAUCCAUGUCUAAAUUAAU